rnacentral:rRNA from 1 species
UACGGGGGGGGCAAGCGUUGUUCGGAAUUACUGGGCGUAAAGGGCUCGUAGGUGGCCAACUAAGUCGGACGUGAAAUCCCUCAGCUUAACUGGGGAACCGCGUCCGAUACUGGAUGGCUUGAGUUUGGGAGAGGGAUGCGGAAUUCCAGGUGUAGCGGUGAAAUGCGUAGAUAUCUGGAGGAACACCGGUGGCGAAGGCGGCAUCCUGGACCAAUAUUGACGCUGAGGAGCGAAAGCCAGGGGAGCAAACGGG